AAAGUCGUAACAAGGUAACCGUAGGUGAACCUGCGGUUGGAUCAUUUAAAAGAUCAACCAUUUUGUCAGCUCUAACCCGGCUGAUCACAUUUUUGUGCACCGUUCACGUCCUUGGUGGGGGGAUGGCAUCUGGUUGGGCUCUCUCGGGCCCGGCCAGGCAACAAGUGUUUCAUCCGUCAGCGCGCCCUCUAUUUGAGGACGCGCCGUGGACAUCCCAUCAAUUUUUUAUUCAACCUUUUGAACUGAUUUUUUAUAUUGUCUGAACAUUUUGCUAAUGUGUAAAAUCAAAAAUGCAAAACAACUUUUGGCAACGGAUCUCUUGGCUCUC
rnacentral:misc_RNA from 1 species